CCUACGGGAGGCAGCAGUGGGGAAUUUUCCGCAAUGGGCGAAAGCCUGACGGAGCAACGCCGCGUGAGGGAUGAAGGCCUCUGGGCUGUAAACCUCUUUUAUCAAGGAAGAAGAUCUGACGGUACUUGAUGAAUAAGCCACGGCUAAUUCCGUGCCAGCAGCCGCGGUAAUACGGGAGUGGCAAGCGUUAUCCGGAAUUAUUGGGCGUAAAGCGUCCGCAGGCGGUCUGUCAAGUCUGCUGUUAAAGCGUGGAGCUUAACUCCAUUUCGGCAGUGGAAACUGACAGACUAGAGUGUGGUAGGGGCAGAGGGAAUUCCCGGUGUAGCGGUGAAAUGCGUAGAUAUCGGGAAGAACACCAGUGGCGAAGGCGCUCUGCUGGGCCAUAACUGACGCUCAUGGACGAAAGCCAGGGGAGCGAAAGGGAUUAGAUACCCCUGUAGUCCUGGCCGUAAACGAUGAACACUAGGUGUCGGGGGAAUCGACCCCCUCGGUGUCGUAGCCAACGCGUUAAGUGUUCCGCCUGGGGAGUACGCACGCAAGUGUGAAACUCAAANGAAUGACGG
rnacentral:rRNA from 1 species